AAGUCGUAACAAGGUCUCCGUUGGUGAACCAGCGGAGGGAUCAUUAGCGAGUUCUAAACUCCCAACCCUCGUGGACAUACCUAUGUUGCUUCGGCGGGGCGCCCUGUACGGGGCGCAGCCUUCACGGGCACCCGCCGGCGGCACGCAAAGCAAACCCUGUUUUUUUGUUGAAUUCUGAGUAAAAUACAAAUAAGUCAAAACUUUCAGCAACGGAUCUCUUGGUUCUG
rnacentral:misc_RNA from 1 species